AGAGUUUGAUCCUGGCUCAGGACGAACGCUGGCGGCGUGCCUAACACAUGCAAGUCGAGCGAGGAAGAGGAGAUAGCUUGCUAACUCCUGUUUCUAGCGGCGGACGGGUGAGUAACGCGUGAGCAACCUGCCUUUAUCAGGGGGAUAACGCAUCGAAAGAUGUGCUAAUACCGCGUAAGACCACAGCCUCACAUGGGGCAGGGGUCAAAGGAGCAAUCCGGAUAAAGAUGGGCUCGCGUCCGAUUAGCUAGUUGGUGAGAUAACAGCCCACCAAGGCGACGAUCGGUAGCCGACCUGAGAGGGUGAUCGGCCACAUUGGAACUGAGAGACGGUCCAGACUCCUACGGGAGGCAGCAGUGGGGAAUAUUGGGCAAUGGGCGAAAGCCUGACCCAGCAACGCCGCGUGAGGGAAGAAGGGUUUCGGCUCGUAAACCUCUGUCCUAUGGGACGAAGGAAGUGACGGUACCAUAGGAGGAAGCCCCGGCUAACUACGUGCCAGCAGCCGCGGUAAUACGUAGGGGGCGAGCGUUAUCCGGAUUCAUUGGGCGUAAAGCGCGCGUAGGCGGCCCGGCAGGCCGGGGGUCGAAGCGGGGGGCUCAACCCCCCGAAGCCCCCGGAACCUCCGCGGCUUGGGUCCGGUAGGGGAGGGUGGAACACCCGGUGUAGCGGUGGAAUGCGCAGAUAUCGGGUGGAACACCGGUGGCGAAGGCGGCCCUCUGGGCCGAGACCGACGCUGAGGCGCGAAAGCUGGGGGAGCGAACAGGAUUAGAUACCCUGGUAGUCCCAGCCGUAAACGAUGGACGCUAGGUGUGGGGGGACAGUCCCCCCGUGCCGCAGCCAACGCAUUAAGCGCCC
rnacentral:rRNA from 1 species